rnacentral:rRNA from 1 species
GACGAACGCUGGCGGCGUGCUUAACACAUGCAAGUCGAACGGAAAGGCCCUUCGGGGUACUCGAGUGGCGAACGGGUGAGUAACACGUGGGUGAUCUGCCCUGCACUUUGUGAUAAGCCUGGGAAACUGGGUCUAAUACCGGAUAGGACCACGGCAUUCAUGUGCUGUGGUGGAAAGCUUUUGCGGUGUGGGAUGGGCCCGCGGCCUAUCAGCUUGUUGGUGGGGUAAUGGCCUACCAAGGCGACGACGGGUAGCCGGCCUGAGAGGGUGACCGGCCACACUGGGACUGAGAUACGGCCCAGACUCCUACGGGAGGCAGCAGUGGGGAAUAUUGCACAAUGGGCGCAAGCCUGAUGCAGCGACGCCGCGUGAGGGAUGCCGGCCUUCGGGUUGUAAACCUCUUUCGCCAGGGACGAAGCGCAAGUGACGGUACCUGGAGAAGAAGGACCGGCCAACUACGUG